GUCGAGCGGUAACAGGUAGAAGCUUGUUUCUUUGCUGACGAGCGGCGGACGGUUGAGUAAUGCUUGGGAAUAUGCCUUAGUGUGGGGGAUAACUGUUGGAAACGAUAGCUAAUACCGCAUAACGUCUUCGGACCAAAGAGGGGGACCUUCGGGCCUCUCGCGCUAAGAUUAGCCCAGGUGGGAUUAGCUAGUUGGUGGGGUAAAGGCUCACCAAGGCAACGAUCCCUAGCUGGUCUGAGAGGAUGAUCAGCCACACUGGAACUGAGCCACGAUCCAACACUUANACGGGAGGCAGCAGUGGGGAAUAUUGCACAAUGGGGGAAACCCUGAUGCAGCCAUGCCGCGUGUAUGAAGAAGGCCUUCGGGUUGUAAAGUACUUUCAGUCGUGAGGAAGGGGCAGUCAUUAAUAGUGGCCGUCUUUGACGUUAGCGACAGAAGAAGCACCGGCUAACUCCGUGCCAGCAGCCGCGGUAAUACGGAGGGUGCGAGCGUUAAUCGGANNACUCAUANGAAUUUGACGGGNCCCGCCACAAGCGNUGGGAGCAUGUGGCUGAANUNUGGGCGUAAGCGCACUCCAGGCGGUUAGCUCAAGCGAGAUGUGAAAGCCCGGGGCUCANCCUCGGAACAGCAUUUCGAACUGGCUAACUAGAGUCUGUAGAGGGGGGUAGAAUUUCAGGUGUAGCGGUGAAAUGCGUAGAGAUCUGAAGGAAUACCGGUGGCGAAGGCGGCCCCCUGGACAAAGACUGACGCUCAGAUGCGAAAGCGUGGGGAGCAAACAGGAUUAGAUACCCUGGUAGUCCACGCCGUAAACGAUGUCUACUUGAAGGUUGUGGCCUUGAUCCGUGGCUUUCGGAGCUAACGCGUUAAGUAGACCGCCUGGGGAGUACGGUCGCAAGAUUAAAACUCAAAUGAAUUGACGGGGGCCCGCACAAGCGGUGGAGCAUGUGGUUUAAUUCGAUGCAACGCGAAGAACCUUACCUACUCUUGACAUCCAGAGAAGCCAGCGGAGACGCAGGUGUGCCUUCGGGAACUCUGAGACAGGUGCUGCAUGGCUGUCGUCAGCUCGUGUUGUGAAAUGUUGGGUUAAGUCCCGCAACGAGCGCAACCCUUAUCCUUGUUUGCCAGCACGUAAUGGUGGGAACUCCAAGGAGACUGCCGGUGAUAAACCGGAGGAAGGUGGGGACGACGUCAAGUCAUCAUGGCCCUUACGAGUAGGGCUACACACGUGCUACAAUGGCGUAUACAGAGGGCUGCCAACCAGCGAUGGUGAGCGAAUCCCACAAAGUACGUCGUAGUCCGGAUCGGAGUCUGCAACUCGACUCCGUGAAGUCGGAAUCGCUAGUAAUCGUGAAUCAGAAUGUCACGGUGAAUACGUUCCCGGGCCUUGUACACACCGCCCGUCACACCAUGGGAGUGGGCUGCACCAAGAAGUAG
rnacentral:rRNA from 1 species